UGAGGAGGAAAAAAAUAACUAAAUAUCUGUCUUAAAUACUCUGCAUAUAUCAUCAAAUGUCAAAGUUGGAAAAUACAGCCGUUAAGCUCUCGUUACACUUAAU